rnacentral:rRNA from 1 species
GACGAACGUUGGCGGCGUGCUUAACACAUGCAAGUCGAACGGAAAGGCCCUGCUUUUGUGGGGUGCUCGAGUGGCGAACGGGUGAGUAACACGUGAGUAACCUGCCCUUGACUUUGGGAUAACUUCAGGAAACUGGGGCUAAUACCGGAUAGGAGCUCCUGCUGCAUGGUGGGGGUUGGAAAGUUUCGGCGGUUGGGGAUGGACUCGCGGCUUAUCAGCUUGUUGGUGGGGUAGUGGCUUACCAAGGCUUUGACGGGUAGCCGGCCUGAGAGGGUGACCGGCCACAUUGGGACUGAGAUACGGCCCAGACUCCUACGGGAGGCAGCAGUGGGGAAUAUUGCACAAUGGGCGGAAGCCUGAUGCAGCAACGCCGCGUGCGGGAUGACGGCCUUCGGGUUGUAAACCGCUUUCGCCUGUGACGAAGCGUGAGUGACGGUAAUGGGUAAAGAAGCACCGGCUAACUACGUGCCAGCAGCCGCGGUGAUACGUAGGGUGCGAGCGUUGUCCGGAUUUAUUGGGCGUAAAGGGCUCGUAGGUGGUUGAUCGCGUCGGAAGUGUAAUCUUGGGGCUUAACCCUGAGCGUGCUUUCGAUACGGGUUGACUUGAGGAAGGUAGGGGAGAAUGGAAUUCCUGGUGGAGCGGUGGAAUGCGCAGAUAUCAGGAGGAACACCAGUGGCGAAGGCGGUUCUCUGGGCCUUUCCUGACGCUGAGGAGCGAAAGCGUGGGGAGCGAACAGGCUUAGAUACCCUGGUAGUCCACGCUGUAAACGGUGGGUACUAGGUGUGGGGUCCAUUCCACGGGUUCCGUGCCGUAGCUAACGCUUUAAGUACCCCGCCUGGGGAGUACGGCCGCAAGGCUAAAACACAAAGGAAUUGACGGGGCCCCGCACAAGCGGCGGAGCAUGCGGAUUAAUUCGAUGCAACGCGUAGAACCUUACCUGGGUUUGACAUGGAUCGGGAGUGCUCAGAGAUGGGUGUGCCUCUUUUGGGGUCGGUUCACAGGUGGUGCAUGCCUGUCGUCAGCUCGUGUCGUGAGAUGUUGGGUUAAGUCCCGCAACGAGCGCAACCCUUGUUCACUGUUGCCAGCACGUUAUGGUGGGGACUCAGUGGAGACCGCCGGGGUCAACUCGGAGGAAGGUGGGGAUGACGUCAAGUCCUCAUGCCCCUUAUGUCCAGGGCUUCACGCAUGCUACAAUGGCUGGUACAGAGAGUGGCGAGCCUGUGAGGGUGAGCGAAUCUCGGAAAGCCGGUCUCAGUUCGGAUUGGGGUCUGCAACUCGACCUCAUGAAGUCGGAGUCGCUAGUAAUCGCAGAUCAGCAACGCUGCGGUGAAUACGUUCCCGGGGCU